rnacentral:rRNA from 1 species
GCAUAUCAAUAAGCGGAGGAAAAGAAACUAACAAGGAUUCCCCUAGUAACGGCGAGUGAAGCGGGAAGAGCACAAAUUUAAAAUCUACCUGGUUUUCAGGUCGAGUUGUAAUUUGAAGAAACGUUUUUGACGUUCCGAGUUGGGAUAAAUCCUUUGGGAUGAGGUAUCAUGGAGGGUGAGAAUCCCGUGUAUACCAACCGCAGGGAUGUUAUUUAAUACGUUUUCUAAGAGUCGAGUUGUUUGGGAAUGCAGCUCUAAAUGGGUGGUAAAUUUCACCUAAUGCUAAAUAUAAGCGAGAGACCGAUAGCGAACAAGUACCGUGAGGGAAAGAUGAAAAGAACUUUGAAAAGAGAGUUAAAUAGUACGUGAAAUUGUUGAAAGGGAAACGAUUGAAGUCAGUCAUGCCGGCGGGAAUCAACUUAGGGGAAACUCUAAGUGCACUUCACGUUUGGCAGGUCAGCGUCGAUUUUGGAUAUCAUAAAAUGAUUGGGGGAAGGUAGCUCCUUCGGGAGUGUUAUAGCCCUUGAUAGAUGUGAUGUCUGGGAUCGAGGAUUGCAACGGAUACCCUUUGGGCUAGCCGCCUGAUCUCUAACUGGUGUUAGGUUACGGACAGCAUGCUGACCGUGAUUUAAUUACUGGUUAAAAGGUUAGAGCGAGUGUAAAUUCGUUAAGGAUU